GACGAACGCUGGCGGCGUGCUUAACACAUGCAAGUCGAGCGGUAAGGCCCUUUCGGGGGUACACGAGCGGCGAACGGGUGAGUAACACGUGGGUGACCUGCCCUUAGCUCUGGGAUAAGCCUGGGAAACUGGGUCUAAUACCGGAUAUGACUCCAUGACGCAUGUUGUGGGGUGGAAAGCCUUGUGCGGCCUAGGGGAUGGGCCCGCGGCCUAUCAGCUUGUUGGUGGGGUGAUGGCCUACCAAGGCGACGACGGGUAGCCGGCCUGAGAGGGCGACCGGCCACACUGGGACUGAGACACGGCCCAGACUCCUACGGGAGGCAGCGUGGGGAAUCUUGCGCAAUGGGCGAAAGCCUGACGCAGCGACGCCGCGUGAGGGAUGACGGCCU
rnacentral:rRNA from 1 species